rnacentral:lncRNA from 1 species
AGAUGAGCUCAUUCGUAGAUAUUCAUCGACAACAUCAGAUGAUGUCCCAUACGCCAAUACCCUCAUUGCUGCAGUACACUUUUGCAAGGCCGAAAGACCUAGUCUGCCAGUAGCAUCACGUCUCUGUUGAAAAAACUCGUCAUUAGCAGAUGCAGCCUCCACUAUUCGAAGGAAUAGCAUUUGCUGCAUGCGAAAUCGACGUCGGAAAACCUCUGGAGGAUACGUCGGGCUGGUACCAAAAUAGUCGUUGAUUAAACGCUCUGCACCAAGCUCACGUUCCCUAUCACAAUAUCUCCUCCUGCCUGUUGGAAUUUGAUGUCCUACAAACAAAUUAGUAUUGGUUAGGAUCAUAUUCUCGAUGAUGUUAUCAAAUUGACGAUUUUGUUGAUAAACUCGUUCUUCCCAUUCAUCGAAUUCAUUGGAAUGGGAAUCAUCAGAACUUGAGUUUGAAU